rnacentral:lncRNA from 1 species
CUACAAUCAUAAAUUCAUAUUUUCUGAAAUGUAACUUCAUCUUUCCCAAGAAUGUUUAUUUUUAUUCAAGGGAAAACAAUUUUGCCACUUUUAGGUAAUCCUGAUUCAAAAUAGUUGCUUUCAGGAUACUUGGUUCAGGUAUAGAAAACACUUCCCCCUCCCCAGGUGAUUUUCCCUUAUUUAGGGGCUUUCAACAGAAACUAAGCCCCAUGUACCACCCCCGUGCAGGGAUCUUGGUUAUAUUUCCAUACAAACAAGCCAAUCCUCUUAGAUCCUAUGGAUGAAGUUGGUUUGCUGAGUCUUGACUAUAUCUUUCAUCCCGUCCCUGGAAUAUCUCACUCCCCAGUGUAGGGCUGCCAGAUUUGGUAAAUAAAAAGUAUAAAAUGCCCUCGUAGUUACAAGGUGGCAGCCUGGAGCUUGGCGCUGUUACUAAAGUUGUCUUUAGCCAAGUGGAAGGGUCUCCUACUCACACUGAGGCCCCUGGGGGAAAUGGUGUUUUAGACGCUAGGCUUAAGAAUCAUAAAAUUUGGGGCAUAAGACAAGCCCCAGAAAUUAACUGGGAGCAGCCAAAUGCUCUUCCAGGAGACCAGCAGCUACCUUAGACCCGAGCUCCUCUAGGGUGACCUUGGAUCUGCCAAAAGAAUCACAGAAAAGGAAUAAGCAGAUAGGAACUGGGAUCAAGAUUACAAACCAGAAGAUGUGGGCACAUUCUCUGUGGUCAGUGAGGAAGUCUUGAGGAAUAGAGUCAUUAAGAAAAAGCAAAAUGUAGAAAUGUUAAAAUUCAAUCUGACAAUGGAAGGGCUUUUUAAAGGCUUUAAAGAUUUGGUUGGACUUUCUGGAGGAGCCAAGAGUUUUUUGGAUUUGGUAAUGGCACUGAGAUUCAACCUUCACAAGGACUAUCAAAUGGUAAGAGUGAUAACUGGUACCUCUUCUCUCAUUAGUCCAAAGGCUGGGACAUGGACCAAGACAGCAUUUGAUUCUACUACUGCAAAUGCAAAACUGAAACUUCAUCUGAAAAGAAGGUGAAAUCUGUGCCUGAAGAGAAAACGGACCCAUUAC